rnacentral:rRNA from 1 species
GGGCCCGCACAAGCGGUGGAGCAUGUGGUUUAAUUCGAUGAUACGCGAGACUUACCAGGGCUUAAAUGGGAAAUGACAGGGCAGAGACGCCCCCUUCUUCGGACAUUUUUCAAGGUGCUGCAUGGUUGUCGUCAGCUCGUGCCGUGAGGUGUCAGGUUAAGUCCUAUAACGAGCGCAACCCCUACCGUUAGUUGCCAGCGUGUAAUGACGGGGACUCUAACGGAACUGCCGGUGCAAACCGUGAGGAAGGUGGGGACGACGUCAAAUCAUCACGGCCCUUACGUCCUGGCCACACACGUGCUACAAUGGUAGGUACAGAGGGAAGCCACCCCGCGAGGGGGAGCGGA